rnacentral:lncRNA from 1 species
GGCUUCGCGAGGACGCGUUUGCAGCCCCCUCUGCCUCUCCUCUCGGGCGGCUCAGGCGAACGAACCGUCUCGUUGGGGCUUCGUGGUCGUGUAUUUCAUAUUGGGGCUCUUUUCGGGGUUUGUAAUUUGGCCGUGGGUAGGUAAUUGGCUGGAGCAGGGCGGCAGGGCGCGGCAGCCAAUCAGCGCGUGGCUUCUAUAGGGCUUGAGUUAUUAGACGCUGAUCUCAAAACAUCCUUCAUCAGACACCAAGGAGAGGCCAACAGAUGAGGGGAGCCAUUUUUCUGCAAUGGAAUUAAAUGGCCAAGCUAAAGGACUCACUAUUGGAAGAAUGAAGAAGACCUUUUAAAAAGAUCUGGAUUUUUCCUUAUGACUUGGAAUCCAUCUUUGUCUUGUAUAACUAGGUCAUAGCACACCAUUAAUGUCAGCAGUUAACAGUUUUGAAUUCCAAAAAACCUAAAGCAGUAAACAGUCCUCUGCGAAGCCGACUUUUUGCCAACCCAACUCUGGAAAAUGCAGACGUGGAAGGAAGCAGAAAAUGCCAUGAGAGUAUAACUUACAAAAAGGUUCUUGACCGGAGAAGGGGCCAUGUCUUGGUACCCCCGCAGAGUGGACAAUCCUUUCUUCUGGAUAACAGGAGCAGGCCUAGUGUGACUGACAGUCCUCCCACUGAGGUAGGUGAGAACCCUUUCCCAGGCUGUGAGGGCGAUUUAGGGGCUUUGGCCUGACGCCCGGGGAGGGCGGGUUGGGAUCCCCAAACCCGCUGGGCUGGUUCUGCCGCCCCUCCCCCACACAGAUGCGGCGACUGUGUGUGAAAUGGGCGGCCUGCUGGGUCUAUCCAGCCCCGCCUGUCAGCUUCUGUUGUCAGGCAUUUGGGGCGUGCAACUCUGCUGAAUUUAGCAGCUAACUAGAGGCUGCACUUGCAAGUAUUCCCCAGUUGUGUGUUUGUGGUGGGGGGAGGGCCUUGGAUGCCUCUUGCUUCUGAGACGUCCCAGCCGCAGCCCCCUCUUCCGGCCUUCAAUAUGAGCCACCUCUGAUGUCUGGUUGCUAGUGAGAUGAAGAAGAGACAGGCAUGAGAUCUGGGCCAGCUUUCCUGGAGGUUUCCGUGACUCUUCCUGCCCUUUCCAGGGUAUCCUCCUUGCUCCCCAAUGGGCAGGCAUGUAUAACCUGAUUUCUAGUGUGAAACCUGAAUGGCUG